rnacentral:rRNA from 1 species
CGCUGGCGGCAUGCCUAACACAUGCAAGUCGAACGAAGGCUUCGGCCUUAGUGGCGCACGGGUGCGUAACGCGUGGGAAUCUGCCCUUGGGUUCGGAAUAACUCAGAGAAAUUUGAGCUAAUACCGGAUGAUGACGUAAGUCCAAAGAUUUAUCGCCCAAGGAUGAGCCCGCGUAAGAUUAGCUAGUUGGUGGGGUAAAGGCCUACCAAGCCUUCGAUCUGUAGCUGGUCUGAGAGGACGACCAGCCACACUGGGACUGAGACACGGCCCAGACUCCUACGGGAGGCAGCAGUGGGGAAUUUUGGACAAUGGGCGCAAGCCUGAUCCAGCCAUGCCGCGUGCGGGAAGAAGGCCUUCGGGUUGUAAACCGCUUUUGUCAGGGAAGAAACGCUCCGGGCUAAUACCCUGGGGUAAUGACGGUACCUGAAGAAUAAGCACCGGCUAACUACGUG